GCCGUGGUGAAAUGGUAAAGCGCUUGAUUCCUAUAAAAGAAGUCUCGGGUUCGAUUCCCGGCCCCGGUG
rnacentral:tRNA from 1 species